AUGACCGCAGCCCUGCCAGACCUGGAGGACGGUCUCGUAAGGAUCCCAGAGCCAGAAGACCUAGCUGAGCCAGACCCAUACAAAGUGAAAGAUAAUUUACAUUGUUGUUUCCAAGCCUCUAAGUUUUGGAGUAAUUGGUUAUGCAGCAAUAGGAAACUGAUACAUUGGGUCACAAAAAGUGUUUACCUUCUUACUAUCAUCCUUACAGAUGAAUACAGUAGCCUUGUUAUCUCUUCGUCUCCCAGCUUUCUCUCCACAGUCCACGGUCCCUCAAUAUCCAGCCAACCUCAAGUCCACAGGGCUCCCGUGACGUCCGAUAUCUUUGUUCACGGGAAGGCAUGGAGGACCCGAAUGGACGGGACCUGCCUGUUCGGUUCAGCAGGGAUUCAAAAACAUUGACUCGAUGCCUCAUUGCAAGAGCAAACGUUGUACUCAGCAACGCUCUACGUCAGGUGCUGGUGCUCAGCUAUGCUGACCCCCGAUGUCCCAGGUAGUUCCUUCCAAGCAUCUUAGGAUCCAGGCCCUAGUGUUAUGCUGUCAGACCAAAGACAUUGGGGCUUGGAGACGCGAGGAAAUUUGCUCUUUCUCGGCCAUACAGAGUAGUAAUUGGCAGCAGCAGGUCCGGGUCUGUCUGAUUCAGGAGCUGCAUUUCUUUUCUUUUUCUUUUUUCUUCUUAAUGUUUAUUUUUGAGACCGAGAGACAGAGCGUGAGCGGGGAAGGGGCAGAGAGAGAGAGGGAGACACAGAAUGCGAAGGAGGCUCCAGGCUCCGAGCUGUCAACCCAGAGCCCGACGCGGGGCUCGAACUCACGGACCGCGGGAUCACGACCUGAGCCGAAGUCGGACGCUUAACCGACCGAGCCACCCAGGCGCCCCCACGGGAGAUGCAUGUCCAACCACUGCACAACGUUACCUACUUCAUGCCAGACCCUCGCCCGGGAGUCUGAGAUGCAGUUGUGAAUCGCAGGAGAUCCUUGUCGCGGAAAAUGCUGUAACCCUACUGGGUUGACAUCCUAUUCGUACUUAAAAAAAAAAAGUGUUUAUUUGAAUGAGUUGCAUGGUCCCGAAUUGCAAAAAAAAAAAAAAAAAAAAAAAAAUGAAAGGGGGUCCCGAAUUGCAAAAAAAAAAAAUAUGAAAGGGUACACAGUGAAAAGUGAGUGUCCCUUUCAUCCUGUUCUAGAGCCCCUAGCUAUUUACCUUCUCAUUAAAUAGCAGAAAACGAGUACUCCCCUCCUCCUUUCGCAACCAGGAAACACUGUCGAAGCGAAUGGAACGUGUAAAAGAGAUUGAAAGGCGACGCCAAGCGUCCUGUGUUCAUCAUGCGCUACGGACGCUGAGCAGGGCAGGGCCAACUUGAACCACAGGGUCAGGCCACCAAGACGCGAGAGGCGAGAGCCUCAA
rnacentral:lncRNA from 1 species